ACUGGUCUCGAGACUUAGGUGACGUCACUAAAAUGGUGUUACUUUUGAUAACUGUCUAUAGAAAACACUAUUCAGAUAGUGAGGAAAAAUAGAGAAGAGAAAGCAGUAUGAAGAAAUGUAGAUGGGUUUUCGACCAACUUCUACAUUUUGGCGAUGAAGAAAGUGUGUAUGCAGAAACACUUAUGAAAGAAUGAUCCUUGAAACAUACCAGGACUCACUGAAAUACACGUCUAAACAUCUCUCCUGUCGCUUAUUCAUCUCUUCUUCAACUCUCACAGUCCCAAUUUAUUCACUUGAACUACGACAGACCACCUCGUGAUUUCGUCAGAAUCUCUUACACAACCAAAACCAUCCGCUCACCUUUAAUCAUGGAUUCAUCAGAAUUACAAAAUAUAAAACGAAUGCUGUUAAAAUGGUUUAGGCAUUUCUAAAUUUUAUGCUUCGGAAAUUCCCGAGCUUUUUUUUUUUUAAAGCGCACGCGAACAAUGGCGUCUCGAUGACUACUUCCGGUGUCAAGUCUCUUUCAAUUGUAUGUUCCACAACAAUGAGUCCAAAGGGUGGAGGUGACAGCUGGUGUGAGCUCACUGUCUGUCAAAGAGGUUUCAUGUGACCAGCACAACGACAAACGUCCCUUACCCCCUGUCACGUAACAUGUGUCACGUAUCUAGGUUACGCACGUUGCUAAUGACAACGUAGGUUGUUCAGUGACAUGAUCCCCCGAGAAAACAAUUGCCGUUUCGAGUGUAGAUGUUGUUUUUUGUUUUUUUUAGAUCAGGGGAGAUAAUAAAAACGUUCAAUUUUAAUUUUACUUCCGUUUCUGGAUAUUUCAUAAAUUUUUUAGAUCUCCACUUAAGUGGUAAAGUAUAAAAAGUGGAGGCAAAAAAUAUUCGGGUCAGUAAGUUUCAUGUUGUGCUUUCUAUUUGUA